UCCCUGGUGGUCCAGUGGCUAGGACUUGGCACUUUCACUGCUGCAGCCCAGGUUCAAUGCCUGGUCAAGGAA
rnacentral:tRNA from 1 species